AUUCAUUCUCAGUUUUAAUGUAGUAUAUUUUCACAUGUGUAUAAUUUAUUAUAAUAUUGUGUUAUGUGAUAUAAAAUAAUAAUUUAAGUUAUGAUAUAACAGUUUUGGUCAGGGAGUUUGACUGGGGCAGUACGUCUGUCAAACGAUAAUGCAGAUGUCCCAAGGUGAGCUCAGCAUGGACAAAAAUCACACGUCGAGCAAAAAAGCAAAAGCUCACUCGAUCUCGAUUUUCUGUACAAAUACAGACCACGAAAGCAUGGCCCAUCAAUAAGGCAGUAAGUUAGCAGU
rnacentral:ncRNA from 1 species